rnacentral:rRNA from 1 species
AUCAUUACCGAGCGAGGGCCCCCGGCCCGACCUCCAACCCCAUGUUUUCCGACCUCUGUUGCCUCGGGGGCGACCCGGCCCUCCGGCCGGGCCCCCCCGCGGACCCCAACCAAACCCUGCAUACCUGCGUCUGAGUCCAUUGAUAAAUUCAAUCAAAACUUUCAACAACGGAUCUCUUGGUUCUGGCAUCGAUGAAGAACGCAGCGAAAUGCGAUAAGUAAUGUGAAUUGCAGAAUUCAGUGAAUCAUCGAAUCUUUGAACGCACAUUGCGCCCGGUGGCAUUCCGCCGGGCAUGCCUGUUCGAGCGUCAUUACACCACUCCAGCCUGGCUGGGUAUUGGGCGUCGCGGUGUCCCCGCGCGCCUCGAAGUCUCCGGCCGGGCCGUCCGUCUCACGAGCGUUGUGAUCCAUCAAGCCGCUUGCGAGUGCGGGGGGGCCGUCGCGCCGUUAAACGACCAUCUCAAGGUUGACCUCGGAUCAGG